rnacentral:misc_RNA from 1 species
AUGCUUUUCGAGAACCACAAUCUGAUUUCUUAGACCUGUUACAGUCAAAACUUGGAAAUGUUCUUCCUUCCAACCAGUUUCAUUUUCAGCAAGAACAGUUGCAGGCACAACAAUUAUCUUUGUCACUGAAACAGCAGUUAGGAAUGGAGGUGGAAGGACAUUUCAACGGGCCAUGGUCUGUUGGUGAAGCUCGUCAGCUUUCUCAGAAUUCUGAUGUUCUUCACCAGUCUGUGUCUUUAGGAUUUAAUGCUUCAGAUUUCUACCAGCUG